rnacentral:lncRNA from 10 species
ACUACAGUGCCUCUGACUUUUUCAUAGGACAGUUGGCCGAGGAAGACAAACAUAAAGAUGAAGUGCUUAAUUCAAGGUCACACAAUGUCGGGGAUGGACCUCCAGAUUUCCUUACUGACCUGCAUUAUCUUGUGGAUACCUGAGUGAAUUCCACACCACCCAUUUUAUAGAUGAAACCACUGAGACAUGGAGCAAUUGACUGAGUAGUCACUGCCCCACCCCUGCCUGGAGCCUCACACAUGACUCGCCUCCUCUCAGUGACCACAGGAAAACAAGCUCAGGGCUCCCACUGAUUGUACAUUAUGAGACGGAGUCUUGCUAUGUUGCCCAGGCUGGUCUUGAACUCCUCACCUCAAGCGAUCCUCCCGUCUUGGCCUCCCAAGUGUCAGGAUUACGGGCAUGUGCUAUCACACCCAACCUGAUACAUUGCCUUUAUAAAUUUUUUUUUCUUUAUUCUAAAAACCAGAAAAAACAAAACUGGAUACAUGUGCAGAACAUGCAGACCAAGUGUGUUGGGGACUUGAGAUGCGUACAUGAGUGUGAUGUUUCCUGCUGAAAGCACAGGUGAGACGUGGUCUUGUAACACAGUGGUUAAGAAUGUGACUUUGGAGCCAGCCUGCUAGGGGCUGAAUUCUGACUCAGCCAUUUACUAACUGUGUGACCUUAGGUCACAGAAUUUUCCACACUCCUUGACAGAGGUGCUUAACCCUUAUCCAUCAGCAUUCUCAGACAGCACCUCCGGUUAGGGACAGUAUCUGACCGUCCGACAUCCCUGCAGCCCCCA